rnacentral:rRNA from 1 species
GAUGAACGCUGGCGGCGUGCCUAAUACAUGCAAGUCGAACGAAGAUUGUAGCAAUACAUUCUUAGUGGCGAACGGGUGAGUAACGCGUUGGUGACCUGCCCCGAAGUGGGGGAUAACAAUUCGAAAGAGUUGCUAAUACCCCAUGUGAUCCUCCGGUCUAGAUGCCGGUUGAUUAAAGGAUUUAUUCGCUUCGGGAGGGGCCUGCGUCCCAUCAGCUAGUUGGUAGGGUAAUGGCCUACCAAGGCUAUGACGGGUAGGGGGCCUGAGAGGGUGACCCCCCACACUGACACUGAAACACGGGUCAGACACCUACGGGAGGCAG